rnacentral:rRNA from 1 species
AUUGAACGCUGGCGGCAAGCCUAACAAAUGCAAGUCGAACGGAGUGGCGGACGGGGGAGGAAUGUCUGGGAAUCUGCCUGGUAGUGGGGGAUAACGUCCGGAAACGGGCGCUAAUACCGCAUAGUAUCAGAUGAGAUUAGGUCGGUUUAGCUAGUGGGUGGGGUAAAGGACUACCAAGGCGACGAUCCGUAACUGGUCUGAGAGGUUGCUCAGCCACACUGGAACUGAGACACGGUCCAGACUCCUACGGGAGGCAUCAGUGGGGAAUAUUGGACAAUGGGCGAAAGCCUGAUCCAGCCAUGCCGCGUGUGUGAAGAAGGCCUUCGGAUUGUAAAGCACUUUAAGUUGGGAGGCGUUACCAACAGAAUAAGCACCGGCUAACUUCGUGCCAGCAGCCGCGGUAAUAC